GGUGGCGUAGGGAAACUGGUGUUUUCAGCAGUCUUCAAAACUGUCAUGGUGGCUUAAAGUCAUUGGUAGGUUCGAUUCCUACACGCUACCGCCA
rnacentral:tRNA from 1 species